rnacentral:lncRNA from 1 species
AAAUAUUAUUUAUCAAUAAAUGAUUACAAAUUGUGAUGAUAUACUGAUCAUAUUAAGUUGUUUGACAUUCUAAAUGUAUUAUUAUAUUAACAAUUUUCAAUAAAAAAAUAUAAUACAUUUAGCCCAACACAUCACAUCCACGCACAACACAUCCAAUAGCCCAGCAACAUAUCAGCCAGUUAGCAGCACCAUCAGCAGCAAAGCCCCAGCCUCAGCCUCAAUUCAGCCGUCUUUCUGAUUACGAUGCAUGCGAGAAGAUUUUCCUUGAUGACUUAUAGUGGCAAUUGAGCAUUUUCCACUCCUUCCCCGAAACUUCAUUUCUACUCACCUCCACUGGCAAGUCUCCUGUAUUCUUUGCAUACAACUCUUUCAAGCGCGGCUGUGAACAAACAUUGUUGUUGUUGUCCGUGCUUUGUGAUAUGUCUGGAGGGGAAACUCGUGUCAUACCAAAAUCAGUAUACCCAGGCCAAGACCAAGCAGCUGAGCAGCUACUUCCCAAACUUCCUCCUGUAAACAUAUAAAAUUAAGGCCUUUAUCCAGAAGAUAAUAAGACUUGCAGUUUACACAAUGUGGA